UCCGGGGUGCAGCAGGCGCGAAACCUUUACACUGCGGGAAACCGCGAUAAGGGGACCCCGUGUGCCAGCACCUAGUGCUGGCUGUCCCGCUGUCUAAACAACAGUGGUUAGCAAGGGCCGGGCAAGACCGGUGCCAGCCGCCGCGGUAACACCGGCGGCCCGAGUGGUAGCCGCUAUUAUUGGGUUUAAAGGGUCCGUAGCCGGCCUAUUAAGUCUCUUGGGAAAUCUGGCGGCUUAAUCGUCAGGCGUCCAAGAGAUACUGGUAGGCUUGGGACCGGGAGAGGUGGGAGGUACUCCAGGGGUAGGGGUGAAAUCUCGUAAUCCUUGGGGGACCACCGAUGGCGAAGGCAUCCCACCAGAACGGGUCCGACGGUGAGGGACGAAAGCUGGGGGCACGAACCGGAUUAGAUACCCGGGUAGUCCCAGCUGUAAACGAUGCUCGCUAGGUGUCAGGUGCGGUGCGACCGCAUCUGGUGCCGCAGUGAAAACUUGAAGCGAGUCACCUGGGAAGUACGGUCGCAAGGCUGAAACUUAGAGGAAUUGGCGGGGGGAGCACAAUCACUAGUGAAUU
rnacentral:rRNA from 1 species